rnacentral:rRNA from 1 species
UACGUAGGGUGCAAGCGUUGUCCGGAAUUACUGGGUGUAAAGGGUUCGUAGGCGGUGUGGCAAGUCGGGAGUGAAAUCUCUGGGCUCAACUCAGAGACUGCUUCCGAAACUGCUGUGCUGGAGUGUGGGAGAGGCGCGUGGAAUUGCAGGUGUAGCGGUGAAAUGCGUAGAUAUCUGCAGGAACACCCGUGGCGAAAGCGGCGCGCUGGACCACUACUGACGCUGAGGAACGAAAGCUAGGGGAGCAAACAGG